rnacentral:lncRNA from 1 species
AUGUGCUAGUACUAAACUGGGCAUGGGGUGCCCAGACCCCUUUCUGCAGGCUCAAUCUGUUUUGUGCAUGUUUUGGGGUAGACUGAGACUGUGAAAAGCUUCAUGGGCAGAGGAAGGGUCUUACAUACUCUGACCUCGAGAUGUGCCCCCGGAUGUCGCAGAGGAGACCCAGCUUCUCCUCCUGUGACAGCACGUAUGGCACUUCUGACUCACUGCAAAACCCACAGCAUGUUUCUCCACAGAGAUCAGCCAUGCCUCUCCUCUUUUUGUUACAGCUUCUUCCAUCCCCCCAUCAUCGACCUACGUGACCACCACGUCCUCUAAUCUCAUUCUCUCUGUACCAGGCCACACACAGACAAUUUCCCAGGAGGAAAUUUUGCAAUCAACAUCAAAUCCCUCCACCCCUCAACCCUUGCGCAUGGUUGAGCACAUCCUCAUUCCAGCCAGCAUUGUGGUCCUUUUUUUGCUUGCAGUGGCUGCUGGUGUUCUAGUAAUACUCUCCAGAAGGAAGAAGGCCACAUCCAUGCUUCAUCCAGCUCUUUCUGGAGCAGCCAUAGAGAUGGACAGGACUUGCAGCAUGUCACCUACACAGGGAGCAGAAGCCUUGAACUAUGCAGACCUUACCCACGGCCCGGCUGAGAGCCAGUACAGCAAUGCUGAGGAUUUGCACCGCCUGGAAAGCCUCCCAGUGGAGUACACAGAGGUCAGGCAGAGUGCUCAGCUUUCGGAAGAGGAAAAAGAGAUGUUAUAUGCCAAAGUGCAGAAGCCCAAGCCACAGCAGGAGCAGAUCUACACCAACAUGCCAUCAGCUCCACGGCCCAGUGGAGAGCUCUACGGCACAGUGUGGGGUAGAUGAGCAAGCACCCAGCCCCAUGGGCUGCUCCUGCUGCUGGCAGCACCAGCGAGAUUUGCACAGAGGACAUGGGGUUGAUGUUCUGCUCAGGUAGGAGCCAGCUCGAUAGCAGAGCUGCUGCUCUCCAAGGUUUGGAUGUUUCUUUGAGGCAACAUCAGAGAGGAUGAGGUUGUGUGGAGGCACAGAGAGGGUUGAAGAUAAAGUCAUGCCUUUGCAAAUGCAAUUUGGAGUCCUC